GCCGAGGUAGCUCAGUCGGUAGAGCAGGGGACUGAAAAUCCCCGUGUCCGCGGUUCGAUUCCGUGCCUCGGCA
rnacentral:tRNA from 1 species